rnacentral:pre_miRNA from 1 species
UACAACGUUUAACUCUUCGUCUUAUUAAAAAAAAUUUAGAUUAAUAAUUUUAUUUUUAUUAGAUGAUAAAAUAUGAAUAGUACUUUAUGUGUGACUAAUUUUUUUUAAAAUUUUUUGAAAAUUUUUUAAAUAAGACGGAUGGUCAAAUGCUCGAUAAAAAAAAUCA